AUUGAACGCUGGCGGCAGGCCUAACACAUGCAAGUCGAACGAGUGGCGGACGGGUGAGUAAUGUCUGGGAAACUGCCCGAUGGAGGGGGAUAACUACUGGAAACAGUAGCUAAUACCGCAUACCAUCGGAUGUGCAAAGAUGGGAUUAGCUAGUGGGCGGGGUAACGGCGAACCUAGGCGACGAUCCAUAGCUGGUCUGAGAGGAUGACCAGCCGAACUGGAACUGCGACACGGUCCAGACUCGUCCGGGAGGAAGCGUUGGGGAAGAUUGGACAUUGGGCGAAAGCCUGAUGCAGCCAGGCCGCGGGUAUGAAGAAGGCCUUCGGGUGUUAAAGUACUUUCAGCUAGGAGACGUUACUCGCAGAAGAAGCACCGGCUAACUCCGUGCCAGCCGCCGCGGUAAUAC
rnacentral:rRNA from 1 species